rnacentral:rRNA from 1 species
UACGUACCGUACGAACGUUAUUCGGAAUUACUGGGCUUAAAGCGCGCGUAGGCGGCUCGGAAAGUCGGGCGUGAAAUGCCGGGGCUCAACCCCGGGACUGCGUCCGAUACUUCCGAGCUGGAGGUAGGUAGGGGAGAUCGGAAUUCCUGGUGUAGCGGUGAAAUGCGCAGAUAUCAGGAGGAACACCGGUGGCGAAGGCGGAUCUCUGGGCCUUACCUGACGCUGAGGCGCGAAGGCCAGGGGAGCAAACGGG